rnacentral:snRNA from 1 species
AUACUUUGCAGGGAAAACACCAUGGUCAAGAUAGUGGUUUUCCCGGGGUGAGACUCAUCCAUUGCAUUUUGGGUGUGUUGAUCUUUAGGAUUUCCCCAAAUGUGGGGAACUCAACUGCAUAAAUUAUUUUAAUGGGUGAUUGCAUUUUUUAUUUCCCU